UCCUAAACUUAAAUAACAAAA
rnacentral:piRNA from 1 species